GAGCAUUUAUAAUUCUUAAAGGUACAAACCAAACUUCACUUUGUUGAUUAUUUUGUUUUUAUUUUUUGUAAUUUAUUUAUUUAUUUAAUGUACAUGCAAAAUGUUUGAUAGGGUAUUAAUGAUAACCGGAGCAGUCAAGAGUUUCUAGCAAUUUGAAAAAAAAAAAAAAGAACAAAUGACCAUAAAUAAUUCGCUAAGGGUAUCAAUUAUAACAGGAGCAGUUGAUAGGGUCUUAAUGAUUACGGGAGUAGUCUAGAGUUUCUAGCAAUUUUGAAGAAAAAAAAGCCAAAUGACCAUUUAUAAUUUUCUAAGGUAUUAUGGAGCAGUCGAGAGUUUUACCAAUUAUAAAAAGGAAGCCAAAUGACUAUAUAUAAUACUCUAAGGGUAUUAAUGAUAUCUGGAGCAGUCAAGAGUUUCUAGCAAUUUGAAAAAAAAGCCAAAUGACCAUUUAUAAUUCUUCAAGGUAUUAAUGAUAACUGGAGCAUUCGAGAGUAUCUAACAAUUUGAAAAAAAAAGCCAAAUGACCAUUUAUAGUUCUCUAAGGGUAUUAAUGAUAACUGGAGCAGUCGACAGGUUCUAGCAAUUUAAAAAAAAACAGCCAAAUGACCAUUAAUAAUUCUCUAAGGGUAUUAAUGAUAAGUGGAGCAGUCGAGAGUUUGUAGCAUUUAGGAAAAAAAGCCAAAUGUAUUCUCUAAGUUACAAAACCAAACUUCACUUUAUGAUUAUUUUGGUUUUUUUUAAUUUGUUUAUUUAUUUCAAAUACAUGCAAAAUAUCUGAUUAGGUAUUAAUGAUAACUAGAGCAAGAGAGAAUAUCUAGCAAUUUAAAAAAAAACAGAUGACCAUUUAUAAUUCUCCAAGGUAUUGUAGAACAGUCAAGAGUUUUACCAAUUAUAAAAAGGAAGCCAAAUGACUAUAUAUAAUUCUCUAAGGGUAUUAAUGAUAACUGGAGCAGUCGAGAGUUUCUAGUAAUUUUAAAAAACAGCCAAAUGACCAUUUAUAAUUCUCUAAGGUAUAAAACCAAACUUCACUUUGCUGAUUUGUUUGUUUUUUUUUUUUUAAAUUAAUUAAUAAUGUAUGAUAUGAUAUUAAUGAUAACUGGAGCACUCGAGAGUAUCUAGCAAUUUGAAAAAAAAAGCCAAAUAAUCAUUUCUAAUUCUCUAAGGUACAAAACCAAACUUUACUUUCUGAUUAUUUUGGUUUUUUUUUUAAUUUGUUUAUUUAUUUCAAAUGCAUGCAAAAUAUCUGAUAGGGUAUUAAUGAUAACUAGAGCAAGAGAGAAUAUCUAGCAAUUUGAAAAAAAAAACAGAUGACCAUUUAUAAUUCUCUAAGGUACAAAACCAAACUUCACAUUGCUGAUUAUUUUGUUUUUUUUAAUUAAUUUAUUUAUUUAAUAUACAUGCAAAAUUUCUGAUAAGGUAUUAUGGUGCAGUCGAGAGUUUUACCAAUUAUAAAAAGGAAGCCAAAUGACUAUAUAUAAUACUCCAAGGGUAUUAAUGAUAUCUGGAGCAGUCGAGAGUUUCUAGCAAUUUGAAAAAAAAGCCAAAUGACCAUUUAUAAUUCUUUAAGGGUAUUAAUGAUAACUGGAGCAGUCGAGAGUUUCUAGUAAUUUUUAAAUACAGCCAAAUGACCAUUUAUAAUUCUAUAAG